CUGCUGCCUUCCGUAGGAGUUUGGGCCGUGUCUCAGUCCCAAUGUGGCCGUUCACCCUCUCAGGCCGGCUACUGAUCGUCGCCUUGGUGGGCUGUUACCCCGCCAACAAGCUAAUCAGACGCGGAUCCAUCGUAUACCACCGGAGUUUUUCACACCGUCUCAUGCGAGACUGUGCGCUUAUGCGGUAUUAGCACUUAUUCUAGUGUUACUCCCAGUAUACGGCUAGGUUACUCCACGUCGUUACUCCACCCGGUCCGA
rnacentral:rRNA from 1 species